GACGAACGCUGGCGGCGUGCUUAACACAUGCAAGUCGAACGGAAAGGCCUUUUCGGUGGUACUCGAGUGGCGAACGGGUGAGUAACACGUGGGUGAUCUGCACUGCACUCUGGGAUAAGCCUGGGAAACUGGGUCUAAUACCGGAUAGGACUGCACUUUAGAGUGUGUGGGGGAAAGAUUUUUCGGUGUAGGAUGAGCCCGCGGGCUAUCAGCUUGUUGGUGGGGUAAUGGCCUACCAAGGCGGCGACGGGUAGCCGGACUGAGGGGUUGGUCGGCCACAUUGAGACUGAGAGACGGCCCAGACUCCUACUGGAGGCAGCAGUGGGGAAGAUUGCACGAGGAGCGCAAGCCUGAUGCAGCGACGCCGCGUGGGGUAUGACGGCCUUCGUGUUGUAAACUCCUUGCGCCAGUGACGAAGCGUGUUGUGACGGUACCUGGAGAAGAAGCACCGGCUAACUACGUG
rnacentral:rRNA from 1 species